UAAAAAGAGCAGGGCACUGCUGGUGGGAA
rnacentral:piRNA from 1 species